rnacentral:rRNA from 1 species
AUGAACGCUGGCGGCGUGCCUAAUACAUGCAAGUCGAGCGAACAGAUGAGGAGCUUGCUCCUCUGACGUUAGCGGCGGACGGGUGAGUAACACGUGGAUAACCUACCUAUAAGACUGGGAUAACUUCGGGAAACCGGAGCUAAUACCGGAUAAUAUAUUGAACCGCAUGGUUCAAUAGUGAAAGACGGUUUUGCUGUCACUUAUAGAUGGAUCCGCGCCGCAUUAGCUAGUUGGUAAGGUAACGGCUUACCAAGGCGACGAUGCGUAGCCGACCUGAGAGGGUGAUCGGCCACACUGGAACUGAGACACGGUCCAGACUCCUACGGGAGGCAGCAGUAGGGAAUCUUCCGCAAUGGGCGAAAGCCUGACGGAGCAACGCCGCGUGAGCGAUGAAGGUCUUCGGAUCGUAAAACUCUGUUAUUAGGGAAGAACAAAUGUGUAAGUAACUAUGCACGUCUUGACGGUACCUAAUCAGAAAGCCACGGCUAACUACGUG